UUUAGGUAAGUACUACGCCGGAUGAACGGAAAUCAUUGAUGUUGAUUAUUAUGGGAUAAGUUAUCUCUAGUACUAAA
rnacentral:tRNA from 1 species